UGAUCUCUGCACAGGCCUGCUCCUGUUUGCUUUCUGUCAUGAAGGGAAGCAGCCUGAAACCCUCAUGAGAAGCAGAUGCAGGUGCCAUGCUUCUUGUACCGCCUGCAGAAUGUAAAGUCUGCUUUGGCUAACAGCACCAGAAAGAGGCCCUCUGAAGUCUUGGUCAGUGUAAUUAAAAGAUCAUGAGUAAUUCCACUGGCUGAAAGAAAAAGGAUGUUCAAGCAGCAUAUGAAAGCAGAACACCUGCCCCUACCUCCAGAUCCGGCAUUACAAGGACCUUGCAAGAUACCACAGCCACCAUUUUCAGACUGCUGGGUAAAAGCAAGUGGUUUCCUGAGAGCCUGUCCAUUUACAGCAAGAAGUUAAAGAAGGUUCUGAGAAGAAGCUAACAGCUGAGCGUGACUUCCAGAAGACAGUGUAGACUGGUUUCAGGGCUGCAGUCCGUGAAAGGCUCCGUGAGAUCCUGAACCCCUGGAGAAAUUAGACGGUCCAAGAAAACCUAACUGAUGCCAGAUGAGAAGUCUCUAUCUCUGCUCCAGACCAGAUCCCUGCUUAUUCAUUUUGAGAUUCCAAAUAAACCAGGUGCCGUAAUGAUCUGCACUGUAAGCAGCAAAAGAAUUGGAACAGAGAGAGGAGUGUGGCCUCCAUCUCACUCACUGUAACCAAUGAAGCUAGAAGAAAGCUCACACUUCUCCUGAGCAUGUGAGAGUGAAAAAGUAAGCUGAUCAUCUAGUUUGGAGGCAUGGAGAUCCUGCCUUCUGCUAAAACUGGUCAAAUGAAUGGCUGAUCCUUUGACCCAAAUAGCUCCAUAAACAAGGACCAAAAGCUUGCCUGUAAAAGACAGGUUGUUGGUCCCAGUGGUUUAUCCUAUGGAAAUCCAAUAAGAACUUUUAUG